rnacentral:lncRNA from 1 species
CCCCACUAAAGCAAACCAACAACAUAUCUGAUAACUGAUAUAUCCUUGUGCCGGUGGAUAUUGCACCAGCUCAAUCUUCCCCUCUAAUGUUUUUGUAUCCAAACACAGACAUGCAUGCAUAAAUAAAUAAACAAAACAUAUAUGUUAACAAAAAGAAAUCCUGGAAAAGGACACGUAUUAGGGCUCCAGCUGUCUCCACCCAGGUCGAACAUCACCUCCCUCCCCAAUGCAUGCACCCAUGCCUUCUCUCUCAU